CUACGGGGCGCACCAGUGAGGAAUAUUGCACAAUGGGGGAAACCCUGAUGCAGCAACGCCGCGUGGAGGAUGACGCAUUUCGGUGUGUAAACUCCUUUUAUGAGUCAAGAAAAUGACGGUAGCUCAUGAAUAAGCACCGGCUAACUCCGUGCCAGCAGCCGCGGUAAUACGGAGGGUGCAAGCGUUACUCGGAAUCACUGGGCGUAAAGGACGCGUAGGCGGGUUGGAAAGUCAGGUGUGAAAUCCUACAGCUUAACUGUAGAACUGCACUUGAAACUUCUAAUCUAGAGUAUGGGAGGGGGAGAUGGAAUUAGUGGUGUAGGGGUAAAAUCCGUAGAUAUCACUAGGAAUACCUAAAGCGAAGGCGAUCUCCUGGAACAUUACUGACGCUAAGGCGUGAAAGCGUGGGGAGCAAACAGGAUUAGAUACCCGCGUAGUC
rnacentral:rRNA from 1 species